rnacentral:rRNA from 1 species
UACGUAGGGUGCGAGCGUUAAUCGGAAUUACUGGGCGUAAAGCGUGCGCAGGCGGCUUGCCAAGUCAGAUGUGAAAGCCCCGGGCUCAACCCGGGAACUGCGUUUGAAACUGGCAGGCUAGAGUUUGGCAGAGGGGGGUGGAAUUCCACGUGUAGCAGUGAAAUGCGUAGAGAUGUGGAGGAACACCGAUGGCGAAGGCGGGUCUCUGGGCCGAUACUGACACUGAGAAGCGAAAGCGUGGGGAGCGAACAGG